CUGGUGGCUGUGUUUGAUGCUGAAAACCAGAGUUCUUGUUGGAAGAUCCUUUCCUUUAGCUAUAGUUUUUUCUUUGUGUUCUAGUAACUGCUCCUUUCCCUCUCUACUGAGGCCUACGGGUAGUAGUGACUUUCCACUUUUACUAGUUCUAAGGUGUUUUGCUUUCCCUUACUGGUUUACCUUAAUACUGUCCACACAUUUUACAAAGUCCCUUUAUUAAACUCUCAUCAGUUACCUCAUUGAGUAUAAAAUCUGUUUCCUGCUCGAACACCAAUUGAUAUACUCCAUCCUCUGUCACCUUAUUUUUUUUCCUUCAGCACAAAUUACAAGCUAUGCUCAGCUUUAAUAAAUGUGUUUACUUAUUUAUUACCCGGCUUUCCUGACCAGAAUGUGUUUCCAUGGCUUAGCACAGUGCCUGACACAUGGUAGAUACUCAGUACAUGUUUGUUCACUGAAUGGUUCCAGACAUAAAAACUUCUAGUUCAAAAUUCUUUCUACACAUCACAAUGAGAAUGACUCUGUAGAACUUUUAAGGGAUGAAUCUGCCUAAAGGGAAAUUUUAACUCAUUUCAACGUCAAAUAUAAACUGUAUAGGCUUUUAUGGGUUAGUAGUUGCUAUUUAAUAUAUUGUUUCUAUGGUAAAAUGUACUCCAGAUCAACCCAUUUUUUCCCAUUAGAUUAUAGUUUCAUGAAGGCAGGAAACAGAUGUAUCUUCUCCAUGGUUGUAUGCUGAAAGCUUUGCACACUGCCCGGCACAGAGAAUAUUUACAACAAAAAUAUGGAAUAAUUCUCAGAAGCUCACAUUUAAACAUGGGAUAAUGUGGAGGCAUCAGCUUGAUGCUUUGUGGAUAACAGAUAAACAAUCAAGGCUGGUUGACUGAGUGACUCAACUUCCCUGGAGAAACAAAAACAGAAACGAAGAUAUCCAUGACACCUAAUGUUAUAAGGAGAAGAAAGCACUUGUAAUCACAAGGGUACUGAGAAAAGAAGUUAAAUGAAAGAUGGAUUGCGGAUUAUAGCCUGAGCAGAUUUGAGCCUAAAUGUAAUAUAACAACUUGUGGCAAAUGGAGGUAGCAGGAGAGUAGAGCCAACUAGCCAAAAAUCCCCUGGAAAGGUGAAACUGAAAUCAUUCAUUCAAAAAGUGUUUACUGAGUAGCUUCAAAGAGCAAAUAUUAGGUUAGAUGCAAUGGGUGAUGUACGAAUAUUCAGACAACUAUUUCUCAUGGACUUUGCUUACUGAGCCAUCAACACACUGGCCACCUUUUUCUAGAUGAAGUAUCCCAUCAUUUGAUUCUGGAUUGAGAACUCUUUGAGAGCAGAGACCAUGGCUUCACCUGAGUAUCCCCAGAGCCUGAUGUUAGACAAGAAAGAAAAUCUAUUAAGAGCUCAAAUAUUUACCAGAGAAAAUACAGUGAAAGGAAAGAAGAAUUUUUUUCAAUAACAUGAGAAAAUAAAAUCACAUGAUCUAAACAUUUCCUCCCAGUUGUCCGCACGAAAUUCAGUGUCCAGAUGUUUCAGAAUCCAGAUGGCCUAAGAAUCCUCUAUCACCCAGAAAGGAGGAAAAUGUGCAUGAAAGUGGAACAUUUAAAAGAAAAAAUAAUUUAGCUUUGGCUAUGUAGCGACAACAUACAGAGCUCGAGAAAAAGCUUCUUCUCCUAAAGCAGCAACUUAAUAAAAGGCAUGUUAUAGGCUUUAUCAAUAAGCCAAAAUUUCAGCCUUGCCUCUUCUUCCCAUCGCCAUUAAGAGGCUUGCAGAGGUCCACACUCUUUAAAGGGCAGACAGCAUGGAAGAACUAUCAUGUACAAUUUAAAGUAGCAGCUAAAAUUGGAAUGGUCACGAGAAAGCCUGUUUCUUUGCAAUUAAAUUGACAAGCUGUCUAUGAUUACCCUAGGGAACUUGGCAGCUGAGUGAUAAAAAGA